GAUGAACGCUGGCGGCGUGCCUAAUACAUGCAAGUCGAGCGAACAGACGAGGAGCUUGCUCCUCUGACGUUAGCGGCGGACGGGUGAGUAACACGUGGAUAACCUACCUAUAAGACUGGGAUAACUUCGGGAAACCGGAGCUAAUACCGGAUAAUAUAUUGAACCGCAUGGUUCAAAAGUGAAAGACGGUCUUGCUGUCACUUAUAGAUGGAUCCGCGCCGCAUUAGCUAGUUGGUAAGGUAACGGCUUACCAAGGCAACGAUGCGUAGCCGACCUGAGAGGGUGAUCGGCCACACUGGAACUGAGACACGGUCCAGACUCCUACGGGAGGCAGCAGUAGGGAAUCUUCCGCAAUGGGCGAAAGCCUGACGGAGCAACGCCGCGUGAGUGAUGAAGGUCUUCGGAUCGUAAAACUCUGUUAUUAGGGAAGAACAAAUGUGUAAGUAACUAUGCACGUCUUGACGGUACCUAAUCAGAAAGCCACGGCUAACUACGUG
rnacentral:rRNA from 1 species